rnacentral:rRNA from 1 species
CAGCCGCCACGGUAAUACGUAGGGUGCGAGCGUUAAUCGGAAUUACUGGGCGUAAAGCGUGCGCAGGCGGUUUUGUAAGACAGAGGUGAAAUCCCCGGGCUCAACCUGGGAACUGCCUUUGUGACUGCAAGGCUAGAGUACGGCAGAGGGGGAUGGAAUUCCGCGUGUAGCAGUGAAAUGCGUAGAUAUGCGGAGGAACACCGAUGGCGAAGGCAAUCCCCUGGGCCUGUACUGACGCUCAUGCACGAAAGCGUGGGGAGCAAACAGGAUUAGAUACCCGAGUAGUCCCUGUCUCUUAUAC